CGCUAUCAAGGUUGAAGGCCACAGUAACUCCAGCCACAUGGGUUUUGUGGCGGCUAACAGUUAGCCUAGUUUUCGCCUAAACCUUUGUCGCUGUUUUCUCUUCUAAAAUGUGACACUGUGCACAGGACAGAAGAUAUAAGGAGAAACCCUGGAGGUUUUCUGCAGAGUCCCAUAGAAGAUUGGCUUCUUUCCGUUUCAAGAAUGGCGAGCGGAGCCUGUAUGGAACUGAGCCCUUCAACCUCCAUGCCUGAAGUGAGGAGUCACGGCUCGAAGGACGAGGUCAAAUCUGGUGUGCAGUUUCCAACUAAUUGGGAAUCAGUGACCGAGUGUAGCCGAGCCGAUAAAUGCCGUAUUCAGGAUGCUAAUAUGCCAACAUCUCCCUGAUUUUUCUCCAUCCGUCUACUGACUCCUGGUUCAUGACUCUGACUUCUUUCCAGUCUAAGUAGCAAGUGGACCUUAACCAUGAUAUGAAUUUUUAUGUCAAAGAGUUAAGACCUGGUCACAUCAGAAAUCACAAGAGCAAACUUCAUUUGUAUGCGUAUGCUAAUGAUAUGUGCCAUUUGGGACUAUUUGCAAUGCUAACUGGUGAACUGCUGUAGCUGUGAGUUAAAUUCACUUCAUGCUUUCCUCAUGUACGUCCACUUCCAUGUCUGUAAAA